rnacentral:rRNA from 1 species
AAUGAACGCUGGCGGCAUGCCUAACACAUGCAAGUCGAACGAAGGCUUCGGCCUUAGUGGCGCACGGGUGCGUAACGCGUGGGAAUCUGCCCUCAGGUUCGGAAUAACAGCAAGAAAUUGCUGCUAAUACCGGAUGAUAUCGCGAGAUCAAAGAUUUAUCGCCUGAGGAUGAGCCCGCGUAGGAUUAGCUAGUUGGUGGGGUAAAGGCGCACCAAGGCGACGAUCCUUAGCUGGUCUGAGAGGAUGAUCAGCCACACUGGGACUGAGACACGGCCCAGACUCCUACGGGAGGCAGCAGUGGGGAAUAUUGGACAAUGGGCGAAAGCCUGAUCCAGCAAUGCCGCGUGAGUGAUGAAGGCCUUAGGGUUGUAAAGCUCUUUUACCCGGGAUGAUGAUGACAGUACCGGGAGAAUAAGCUCCGGCUAACUCCGUGCCAGCCGCCGCGGUAA